GAAGGCUCAAGUAAGUGAAAUUUAAAAAAAGUCAGAAAAAAAUAUAAGAAGAAUGAGACAACAAAGAUGAUCGGCCAUCAAAGGCAUAACCAAAUAUCAAAAACACAAAACCAGUGCAAUGAUCAAGGAAGGAUUAAGUCACUUUUAUCCCAAAUGAACAUCCUACCCAUCCCAAAGCUUACAUUAAAAUUUAAUAGAAAGCCCUACAUGAUCUCAGUCAAAG
rnacentral:lncRNA from 1 species